CCCUUAGAUGUUCUGGGCUGCACGCGCGCUACACUGAUGCGUUCAACAAGUCGGACCUCGUCCGAGAGGAAAUCGGGGGAAUCUUUUGAAAACGUAUCGUGAUGGGGAUAGAUUAUUGUAAUUAUUAAUCUUCAACGAGGAAUUCCUAGUAAGCAUGAAUCAUCAGCUCGUGCUGAUUACGUCCCUGCCCUUUGUACACACCGCCCGUCGCACCUACCGAUUGAAUGAUCCGGUGAAAUCUCGGGAUUGUGGCCAGUUCACUUUAUUGGGAGUUGGCUGUGAGAACUUGCUUAAACCUUAUCAUUUAGAGGAAGGUGAAGUCGUAACA
rnacentral:rRNA from 1 species